CUUCUUCAAUCUGUUGGGGACAGAUAAAAUGAAUGUGCGAGUCAAUGCCGCCUGCCGUCAGGAUUUUGCCUUCACCAGCAAUCACCUCCGUACCCGGCCCAACGAUAAUAUCUAUAUUGGGCUGCGUGUCUGGGUUACCUGCUUUGCCUAUAUGAGAAAUACGACCAGACUUUAAACCAAUAUCUGCUUUGUAUAUGCCAGUAUAAUCAACGACCAAUGCAUUGGUGAUAACUGUAUCAACAGCGCCGUUUUCGCGGCUGACCUGAGACUGCCCCAUGCCAUCCCGCAAA
rnacentral:sRNA from 1 species